rnacentral:rRNA from 1 species
UACGAAGGGGGCUAGCGUUGCUCGGAAUCACUGGGCGUAAAGCGCACGUAGGCGGCUUUCUAAGUCAGGGGUGAAAUCCUGGAGCUCAACUCCAGAACUGCCUUUGAUACUGGGAAGCUUGAGUCCGGAAGAGGUGAGUGGAACUGCGAGUGUAGAGGUGAAAUUCGUAGAUAUUCGCAAGAACACCAGUGGCGAAGGCGGCUCACUGGCUCGGUACUGACGCUGAGGUGCGAAAGCGUGGGGAGCAAACAGG